rnacentral:sRNA from 1 species
UUCGACUUGGCCAACGAAGCAGGGUACCAACCUCCGUUCCCAAAAAUAGCUGAUAACUUGUCAUCGCCCUUGGAGUAAGCAGGAAAAAAGAAAUUGGACAAGACAAAGACCCCCACAUCACAACCCACUUAUCUAUGCCUAAUCCGGGCACUUCCAAGCCUCGGAUGUGCCCCCACGGUGCUACUGCUUACAAGUUACACUGCACAUUCUGACGACUCCUCACGUAGUCCUCAGGUAGCAGUGCGUGGCGCUACCCAAAAUUAAUCCGAAACGCUUCUGUUCAGCCCGUUCAAGUCUUGGCAAUUAUGAAUAGAGCGACACGCCCGAAAACCACGGCCACAACGUGUCUCCCGAACAGAGUAAAAUGAAAGGUGAAGAUCAAUCAUAAAAAUCGAGGACGCGGUAAGAUUUCGCGACUAGAGAAUAUACAUUAGGGUAGUGGGGAUGUGACCGCGGGAAUGCUUAUCUCCGAAAUCACACAACAGACAUUUUCUCAGUCCGCGGGACAAACAACACGCGACGCGACGCCAAAAAAGAUGAUACGCCGUCAGAAAAAAAAAAGGAAAGGAGAGGAAAGGAAAGGCUGUGGGAAACCUGAGGUCCACUAGGGGAAAGGUCAAAGAUAUAAGAGCAUGUCGCACCAAAAACUCCAGUAAAAUUUGUUCCUCGGCCAUGGAAACUGGAAAUGACGAGAAGAAAGGAGAGAAAAUUCCCAUAAACCGUGUCAAGAGCCGGUUAUCCAAUUUGCAAUUUGUCCGUGAUGAUGAGAAUGAUAAGAAUCAUCGGCCGUAAGCGGCACAAGAAAAAUAUAUCACACAUUCAAGCAAGCUAACUCGGGGCGGAAAAAUACAAUCAAACAAACCAAAAGAGGG